rnacentral:rRNA from 1 species
GACGAACGCUGGCGGCGUGCUUAACACAUGCAAGUCGAGCGGAGCGGCGAACGGGUUAGUAACGCGUGAGUCACUGCCCCCCUCUCUGGGAUAACAGUUUGAAACUUCUGCUAAUACCGGAUAGUGGGGGAUGACUCGCGUCCUCUCAGCUUGUUGGUGGGGUAGUGGCCUACCAGGGCGACGACGGGUAGCCGGCCUGGGAGGGCGACGGGCCACAUUGGGCUGAGAUACGGAACAAACUCCUACGGGAGGCAGGAGUGGGGAAGAGUGCACAAUGGGGGAAACCAUGAUGCAGCAACGCCGCGUGCGGGAUGACGGCCUUCGGGUUGUAAACCGCUUUCAGCUAUGACGCGGUAGUAGCAGAAGAAGCACCGGCUAACUACGUGCCAGCAGCCGCGGUAAUAC